rnacentral:lncRNA from 1 species
CAGGCAUUAGCCACAGCGAAAAUCCUUGUAUUCAUGCCUUUGCCCAUGUUUGCAAGUAUAACUGGGAGAUAAAAUGCUAGAAUUGCAGGGUCCAAAAAAAAGCACAUUUUAAUUUUAACAACUAUAACCCAGUUGCCUUCCAAAGAGGCUGUACACAUGUUUCCCUGUCUCAAACAGUGGUGAGCAUGCCUGCUCCCCUACAAACUCACCAGCUCAGAGCAUUAUCAGGCUUCUCAUCUCUGCCAACCUGGUAAGUACAAAGGGCAUCUCUUGUAGUUUCGGUUGCAUUUUUCUCAUUAUGAGAUUGAGCAGCAGACAAUGUCUUUAAAAGACUUAUUUUGCUCUGGGUUUUAAUCUUAAAAUACUCUAAAUCCUCUUAGAAGUAGGUAGGGUCAGAUCUUCAAUCUGGAUGGAUUUACGUAAUGGGUCUAUGAAAGGGAUAGAAAGUCAAAGCAAGGGGGUGAGGCGGGGGAAUGAUGCGAAGUCAAAGCCCUCCCCCUCGGGGGCCCCUAGCCCAUCCCUGAUCCCUCACCCUUUGCAGGGCAUGUCCAGAGCUGCCACUGCCCUGGGCCUCCACCCCACAGCCCAGGACCACACCUUAACCUGGAAAGUCGUGGACCUCCUCAGGGGAGCUCAGGGAUCAGAUGGGCCGAUGGGUGUUACUGUGGCCAGGAGCACUGGGUCUUGAGUAUGUGGGUGGAACUUUCCCUCAUCCCCUGACCACGUCUAACCACAUGGCCUCUCCACUUUGAUAGUGGCGAGAAGAGUAGCCUCUUGCUUUUGCAUGUUUUCCUAAUCACAGCGUGCUUUCUUGUCUGCUAUUUCAUUUGACUUUUUUCAACCAGCCGCUGAGGUGGGGAUUAUUAGCACGCCCUUUGCAGAUGAGGAAACUGAAGCCCAGGGAGCUUUGGCAACCUGCCCAAGGUCACACAGCCAGUGAAGGAAAGGGCUGAAAUCAAACCAGGCCUGUCUGACUGCAAGGCAGGGUCUUACGGCUGCCUCCGGUGGGUAGGUCCGGGACCCAGCUGGUUUCCGUCCUGUGGCUCAGGUGCGAGGAGAGCCUCCCUGGGCCACCUGGGGAAGUCUGACUGACGUGCCAGAUCCUCACAGAACAAAGGAGAGAAGGGGACUCCUGAGAGGCCCCAGCAGCGUUAUCUGGGCAGAGAAAGUGAGUUUGAAGACCUCACACUCCAUCUGGACUUUAUCAGCUCCUUUCCUGGCACCCCCUCUCUCAGCACCAGGGAGCUCCUCCAGGAGCACUUCCUCCCAUGUCUGUGUUCGCCGUUAAGACUGGACACACCAGGAUGAUCUUUCAACUUUGGGUCCAAAGGCCCUCAGUGGAUGUAAAAUAGGUACAUGAGGCCUUGAACUGAACAUUUUUUUCACUUCACCAUAACCUGGAUUUUCCCAGUUUAGGAGCAUCUGUUUGUCUUGAUAACGUUUGGAACAAAGUGAAAAAAACUGGACUUUGAAGAGAACUUCAGGUGAAUUACACAUUUAAGUCAGAUUUUCCAUGUCUUUGUCCCAUGUUCAGUAAUUCAAGCUGUUAGGAGCCCUCAACUUUGUACAUAUAUUUCCUUCCUAUCUCUGCCUCUUCAUACCUGGUACUUACCGUGGAAUUUGAAAUCUUUCUGUGGCUGUAAGCAAGAAAGGCGGGAAAAAUACAAGAAGUUAAAGGGGAUUGGAUGGUUCAGAUUUGGUUGAUGAAUGAGAUGGUUUAGAGGCAUGUCUUGUAAGAGAUAAUUUUCUAUGUGCCAGGUACUAUUUAUGAAUCCCACAUUAUCUUAUUAAUGCUCACAACAAGCCUUGGGGGUAAAUAGAUUAUCAUCGCCAUUUCACAGAUUAGGAAAGUGAGGUUUCAGCAGUCAAUUGCUCAAAGGUCUCCUGCUAGUGAAACAGUCGUCUAUCCAAACAGUCUGAAUGACCUGUGCACAUGGGAACGUGCCACGCAAGCCAAGGGCAGGAAGGAUGAGAAGAGGUGGGCAGAAAGCCAGCUGGGAUGAAUGAAGGACCUACUACGUGCAGGCCCAGGGUCAGACAUUUUAUUUUCUUGAUUGCACUUCAGCCUCCCAGCAGCCCUGUUUUACAGAUGAAGAAACUGAGGCUCAAAGAGCUGGAGAAAGUUGUUGCCCAGGGUCCUGUGGAGAGAAAACUCAAGCUCCGGCUGUUCCACUACUCUGGGACACCACCCCCAGUGGGAACCCCACUUUUACAAGGAUUCGAAGGUAGGUGAGGACUUAUCUCCUGAAAUAAUUAGUAUACUUACUUUUUUGUUACAUAUUCCCACUAAAGGUUUGCAGCCCCACCCAGCUUGAAUAUCAGGAGAAUGGCAACAAAAUCUGGUUCAAGGCUCACAGAAUCCACGAAAGAUGCCAGCCCCUCCACGGUUGGAGAGUGAUUCACAAAUGUGUCUUUAAGGACUUUCCCAGGCCGGGCACAGUGGCUCACACCUGUAAUCCC